UGUUAAAAAUUUCUCCAUUUAUACUAUUAUAAAAUUAGCGUGGUUGAUGAAAUAAUCAGACAGUGCAAUGUUUACCUCAUGUUGAUAUACAAGGACUAGUUUUUAACAAUACAAAUGAGUAAAAUUUUUAAUA
rfam:Gossypium raimondii Chr02_contig_113, whole genome shotgun sequence.